rnacentral:rRNA from 1 species
AGACGGGACCCGCACAAGCGGUGGAUGAUGUGGAUUAAUUCGAUGCAACGCGAAAACCUUACCUACCCUUGACAUGUCCGGAAUCCUGCAGAGAUGCGGGAGUGCCCGAAAGGGAAUCGGAACACAGGUGCUGCAUGGCUGUCGUCAGCUCGUGUCGUGAGAUGUUGGGUUAAGUCCCGCAACGAGCGCAACCCUUAUCAUUAGUUGCUACGCAAGGGCACUCUAAUGAGACUGCCGGUGACAAACCGGAGGAAGUGGGGAUGACGUCAAGUCCUCAUGGCCCUUAUGGGUAGGGCUUCACACGUCAUACAAUGGUCGGUACAGAGGGUUGCCAAGCCGCGAGGUGGAGCCAGUCCCAGAAAGCCGAUCGUAGUCCGGAUUGUUCUCUGCAACUCGAGAGCAUGAAGUCGGAAUCGCUAGUAAUCGCGGAUCAGCAUGUCGCGGUGAAUACGUUCCCGGGUCUU